rnacentral:rRNA from 1 species
CCUACGGAGGCAGCAGUGGGGAAUAUUGCACAAUGGGGGAAACCCUGAUGCAGCAACGCUGCGUGAGUGAAGAAGUAUCUCGGUAUGUAAAGCUCUAUCAGCAGGGUAGAAGAUGACGGUACCUGAGUACGAAGCCCCGGCUAACUACGUGCCAGCAGACGCGGUAAUACGUAGGGGGCAAGCGUUAUCCGGAGUUACUGGGUGUAAAGGGAGGGUAGACGGUGAGACAAGUCUGAAGGGAAAGCCUGGGGCUCCACCCCGGGACUGUUUUGGAAACUGCGUGUCUUGAGUGCUGGAGUGGCAAGCGGAAUGCCUGGUGUAGCGGGGAAAUGCAUAGAUAUUAGGCAGAACACCAGUGGCGAAGGCGGCUUGCUGGACAGUAACUGACGUUGAGGCUCGAAAGCGUGGGGAGCAAACAGGAUUAGAUACCCGAGUAGUC